rnacentral:rRNA from 1 species
GACGAACGCUGGCGGCGUGCCUAAUACAUGCAAGUAGAACGCAGUUGCGCACGGGUGAGUAACGCGUAGGUAACUGCCUCAUAGCGGGGGAUAACUAUUGGAAACGAUAGCUAAUACCGCAUACUUUGAGAUGGACCUGCGUUGUAUUAGCUAGUUGGUGAGGUAAAGGCUCACCAAGGCGACGAUACAUAGCCGACCUGAGAGGGGGAACGGGCACACUGGGACUGAGGACAGGCACAGAAUCCUACGGGAGGCAGCAGGAGGGGAUCUUCGGAAAUGGACGGAAGUCUGACCGAGGAACGGCGGGGGAGUGGAGAAGGUUUUCGGAUCGUAAAGCUCUGUUGUGAGAGAAGCGGUAACUAAACAGAAAGGGACGGCUAACUACGUGCCAGCAGCCGCGGUAAUUC